ACCCAUGAGAGCGGCGCACGGGUAAGUAACGCGUACACGACCUACCUCUAACAGGGGGAUAGCCCUGGGAAACUGGGAUUAAUACCGCAUAUUAUUCUGAAUAAUAAAGGUUUGGAAUGAAAGCUGAGGCGGUUAGAGAUGGGUGUGCGUCUGAUUAGCUAGUUGGUAGGGUAACGGCCUACCAAGGCGAUGAUCAGUAGGGGGCGUGAGAGCGUGGUCCCCCACACGGGUACUGAGACACGGACCCGACUCCUACGGGAGGCAGCAGUAAGGAAUAUUGGUCAAUGGGCGAAAGCCUGAACCAGCCAUCCAGCGUGCAGGAAGAAGGCCCUAUGGGUUGUAAACUGCUUUUAUCAGGGAAGAAACCUCUGGAUUUACUCCGGAGCUGACGGUACCUGAAGAAUAAGCACCGGCUAACUCCGUGCCAGCAGCCGCGGUAAUACGGAGGGUGCGAGCGUUAUCCGGAAUUACUGGGUUUAAAGGGUGCGUAGGCGGCUUUGUAAGUCAGGAGUGAAAGUUUGCGGCUCAACCGUAAAAUUGCUUUUGAUACUGCAGAGCUAGAAUCAGGAUGAGGUUAGCGGAAUGUGGCAUGUAGCGGUGAAAUGCAUAGAUAUGCCAUAGAACACCAAUUGCGAAGGCAGCUGGCUAGACCUGCAUUGACGCUGAGGCACGAAAGCGUGGGGAGCGAACAGGAUUAGAUACCCUGGUAGUCCACGCCCUAAACGAUGCUUACUCGACGUAUGGCGCUUGUCGUCGUGCGUCC
rnacentral:rRNA from 1 species